UACGGGGGGGGCAAGCGUUGUUCGGAAUUACUGGGCGUAAAGGGCUCGUAGGCGGCCAACUAAGUCAGACGUGAAAUCCCUCGGCUUAACCGGGGAACUGCAUCUGAUACUGGAUGGCUUGAGUUCGGGAGAGGGAUGCGGAAUUCCAGGUGUAGCGGUGAAAUGCGUAGAUAUCUGGAGGAACACCGGUGGCGAAGGCGGCUCACUGGACCGGAACUGACGCUGAGGCGCGAAAGCGUGGGGAGCAAACGGG
rnacentral:rRNA from 1 species